GCGGAUGUGGCGGAAUGGCAGACGCAGCAGACUCAAAAUCUGCCGGGGGUGACUCCGUGAGGGUUCGAGUCCCUCUAUCCGCA
rnacentral:tRNA from 1 species